CACUACCUUCCUGGAGGUCUUAGAGGGAGUUCAGUGUGUCAUCCCCAGGGACAAGUUUCUGGCCAUCACCAGUGCUGUGUUCUACCAGCUCUCUGACGACACCAAGCAGCACAGCGAGGCUGAUAGCGCAGAGCUGACCCACUGCAUCCUGCUGCAGGCCCGAAUGUGUCCAGAGGAAACCAUCCUGUUUCUUCAGUCGCAGCUGGAGAAUGAAUGGGAGCCUGGAUGUGUGGCAGCCCUGGGUCUGCUCGGCGCUCUGGCUCGCUCUGAUGAGCCCGUUGUUACAGAGAAGCUGCCCCUGGCUGCGGAGGCUGUGCAGCGUCUGUGCAGCGACCUCAGGCUCCGGGUG